GCAAGUCGUACCAAUGGAUAUCCGUCGGAGGGGAUUAGUGGCGAACGGGUGAGUAACACGUGGGCAAUCUGCCCUGCACUCUGGGACAAGCCCUGGAAACGGGGUCUAAUACCGGAUACGACCAUCUCGGGCAUCCGAUGGUGGUGGAAAGCUCCGGCGGUGCAGGAUGAGCCCGCGGCCUAUCAGCUUGUUGGUGGGGUGAUGGCCUACCAAGGCGACGACGGGUAGCCGGCCUGAGAGGGCGACCGGCCACACUGGGACUGAGACACGGCCCAGACUCCUACGGGAGGCAGCAGUGGGGAAUAUUGCACAAUGGGCGGAAGCCUGAUGCAGCGACGCCGCGUGAGGGAUGACGGCCUUCGGGUUGUAAACCUCUUUCAGCAGGGAAGAAGCGCAAGUGACGGUACCUGCAGAAGAAGCACCGGCUAACUACGUGCCAGCAGCCGCGGUAAUACGUAGGGUGCGAGCGUUGUCCGGAAUUAUUGGGCGUAAAGAGCUCGUAGGCGGCUUGUCGCGUCGGAUGUGAAAGCCCGGGGCUUAACCCCGGGUCUGCAUUCGAUACGGGCAGGCUAGAGUUCGGUAGGGGAGAUCGGAAUUCCUGGUGUAGCGGUGAAAUGCGCAGAUAUCAGGAGGAACACCGGUGGCGAAGGCGGAUCUCUGGGCCGAUACUGACGCUGAGGAGCGAAAGCGUGGGGAGCGAACAGGAUUAGAUACCCUGGUAGUCCACGCCGUAAACGUUGGGAACUAGGUGUGGGCGACAUUCCACGUCGUCCGUGCCGCAGCUAACGCA
rnacentral:rRNA from 2 species